AGUGAACGCUGGCGGUAGGCCUAACACAUGCAAGUCGAACGGCAGCACAGUAAGAGCUUGCUCUUACGGGUGGCGAGUGGCGGACGGGUGAGGAAUACAUCGGAAUCUACUUUUUCGUGGGGGAUAACGUAGGGAAACUUACGCUAAUACCGCAUACGACCUACGGGUGAAAGCAGGGGAUCUUCGGACCUUGCGCGAUUGAGUGAGCCGAUGUCGGAUUAGCUAGUUGGCGGGGUAAAGGCCCACCAAGGCGACGAUCCGUAGCUGGUCUGAGAGGAUGAUCAGCACAACUGGAACUGAGCCACGGUCCAGACUCCUACGGGAGGCAGCAGUGGGGAAUAUUGGACAAUGGGCGCAAGCCUGAUCCAGCCAUACCGCGUGGGUGAAGAAGGCCUUCGGGUUGUAAAGCCCUUUUGUUGGGAAAGAAAAGCAGCAGGUUAAUACCCCGCUGUUCUGACGGUACCCAAAGAAUAAGCACCGGCUAACUUCGUG
rnacentral:rRNA from 1 species